CUGACAUUGUUAGAGGAAUCUAUGAGCAAAAGUGUAUCAUGUUUAGAGUUUCAUUUAAUCAGGGCACAUCUAAACGUUUGGGUGCGUAUCCAGCACCCCCAAAUGCCUGUGCACAAAGGCGCCGGCCACCUGGCCGGAAGGCUGUUGAAGUCCACAAUUAGCACGUCAAUACAGGUGGGCGACCACAGGGGAGAAGGCGAAACUCUGUCACAAAAGGGGAAUGAAUAAUUCGGGAACAGCAGUUGAGCGACAAAAGACGAGGUGAGAACACCCGUCGCGCCCAGAGGACAUUGACCGUCCGCAAAGUCUACAGCAUGCUAAUUCGAUGUAGACCAGCCAGAAAAGGCGCCAAUGUACUGGUGGUUCGAGGUUGAAAAACAGGUAACCAAUCACUACUGAGGGGCCCGACCGGGGGUGCGGCAUGCAAAUAUCGGGGGCAGUGUUUUUCUUGUAUUUUGCAUAUGUUACAAUAAAAUGUGGAACUCG